GAGCGAAGCGCUUAAGUCUGAUUCUUCGGAUGAAGAUUUUUGUGACUGAGCGGCGGACGGGUGAGUAACGCGUGGGUAACCUGCCUCAUACAGGGGGAUAACAGUUAGAAAUGACUGCUAAUACCGCAUAAGACUACGGUACCGCAUGGUACAGUGGUAAAAACUCCGGUGGUAUGAGAUGGACCCGCGUCUGAUUAGGUAGUUGGUGGGGUAACGGCCUACCAAGCCGACGAUCAGUAGCCGACCUGAGAGGGUGACCGGCCACAUUGGGACUGAGACACGGCCCAGACUCCUACGGGAGGCAGCAGUGGGGAAUAUUGCACAAUGGAGGAAACUCUGAUGCAGCGACGCCGCGUGAAGGAUGAAGUAUUUCGGUAUGUAAACUUCUAUCAGCAGGGAAGAAAAUGACGGUACCUGACUAAGAAGCCCCGGCUAACUACGUGCCAGCAGCCGCGGUAAUACGUAGGGGGCAAGCGUUAUCCGGAUUUACUGGGUGUAAAGGGAGCGUAGACGGCACGGCAAGCCAGAUGUGAAAGCCCGGGGCUCAACCUCGGGACUGCAUUUGGAACUGCUGAGCUAGAGUGUCGGAGAGGCAAGUGGAAUUCCUAGUGUAGCGGUGAAAUGCGUAGAUAUUAGGAGGAACACCAGUGGCGAAGGCGGCUUGCUGGACGAUGACUGACGUUGAGGCUCGAAAGCGUGGGGAGCAA
rnacentral:rRNA from 1 species